CUUUGCACACGCGGGAGCUCGGAGCACCGGGCUGAGAGGACGCUGACCUUCGUACGUGAAACCGUACGAAAGCCGCUGCGUCGACCGCCGAACCUGUUACCGGGUAAUGCCGGCGUAGGGAGUAGGUCUCAUGACCAC
rnacentral:ncRNA from 1 species